CUUUAUUUGUGUCAUCUCUUCAACUUCAAUUCACCAUUUCUUCAUUGUUCCAUCUCCCUCUCUCUUCACCAACCCCCUUUCUAGAUCCUCUCCUCCGCAAUCAUCAUCCACACAUUUAUAUGCUUCUCCCUUUUUGCCGAUCCAUGGCUCCGAGUCGCUGAACUCAGCAGCGUAACCGUUAACAAACCAUCGCCGCCGUCAACUUUCAUCACGUCAUUACCAUCACCGCCAUGACAACGACUCCGUCGCCGACAGUCCCCUCGAUCCUCUCCAGUGAUCUCAUCCUUGAGGUACUUUUGUUUCUUCCUGUUAGAUCUCUUCUUCGAUGAAGUCUGUAAGUAAGUGUUGGAAAACCCUUAUUUCUGACACCACCUUUGUUUUAUAUACGUGUUUGAUUUUUUUUUUUUUUUGAUUGAAGGUUUGAAAAAUGAGAAAUCACAGAACUCAUAUGCAUAUGUUUUGCUUGAUUGAAGGUUUAUGAAGGAAUCUUACAUCAAUAUGACAAUAUCAUGAAAAAGAUUGUUCAUGAUGCUCUUAAUCUAAGUAAGAUCAAUUUUGUUCUUAACCUAAAGCCCAAUUGUGAUGAUUUUUUUUCUCUGUUUUUGAUUUUGUGUAAAUUUGUGAAUUUUGAUUAGAAGUUUUUUUGGACCGAUUUUAGUGUUUUCGUUGCAUUGGGUUUCAUGUAUUUUACUAUUGAUAUAUUGUUCUUCUAGGUUCACUUUUGAUUCUAUUGCGUGCAGCAAAUUCUUAUAGAGAUUGAGAGCGGAGAGUAAAAAUUAGAGUCAAGAUAAUUAAACACCAUGAGGUAAUUUUAUCUUCGUUUUUUAGAUAUGUUUUUGAUCUAUGAUAUUUAUUUCAUCUAAUAUGAUUAUCAGUAACUUAUAGGGUUCUGAUGUUGUUUAUAGCUCACUGGUGUCCUAUUUAAUGUAUACCUUAGCCUCAUUUUUAUGUGGAAUGAUGCAGAUCUAUAGGGGGCGCCUCUUUGUGGUUAUUUAGAGGUAUUCUGCUGUUACGAGGUUUUCCUUUCAAUGCUAUUUUCCCUCUGUGUCGUGCUAUUCUUCUCUUUUGAUUUGUUCCUUUAAUAUCAUUUGUUUCUAGGUUAUUAUUCAUUUUUUAUUUAUAUUUUGUUAUCUUUUUAUGUUGGUGGAUAAAUUUAAGGUCUUAUUAGUUAAUUUAGGACCGGAUUCUAUAUAAUUCGUGAAGAUAUUAGUAAUUCACGAAUUUACUUUGAAUGGGGAUAGAGCAAUUAGUUCUACGUUUAGUAUUGAAAGAAUUACUAUGGUCUUAUUAGUUAAUUUAGGACCGGAUUCUAUAUUUUCUGGCUGAUUUCUUGAUCUGCAGACCAUGCUUCGGAUCCUGUUGGAUGCAUCACAUGUGAUUGGGUGUGGUCCUUUUGCUAGCAUUGGAGUUAAAUUAGCCACAGAACAUUCUGUCCUGCCCACAACAACCUUUUGCUAACGUGAGGCAAUUAUACAACAAAACAGGCUGAAACAGAAACUGUAGCAACAGCUCACAGCUGCUGUCACACAACAUUCUAUCCUGCCCACAACAACCAAAAAAACGCCUAUGAGGACACCAAGACCAGUCCCAGCCGAGGCACGAACUAAAGCAAUGAGGAUGCAGCCAAAACAGGAACAUAUCACAGCUGUUGUACGAGCAGUCAGCCACCAACACCAAACAGAAGGCAAAACAGCCCCAAAAGUGAUGUAUAUAAAUAUAGUUAAUACUAAAGUUGACUCUUAUGAGUAUGCCACAUAUCUUAAGAUCAUCAUUGUAGGCAUGUCUUAAUAUAUACAAUAUAGGUAGGAUAAUUUGGUCAGGCGUUGGUUUAGUUUUCAUCUCAACAAUAUGAUUGAAAAAUGUAGUUUCCCAUCUUGACUAACUCUCAAAAGUUAUACACUCAAA
rnacentral:lncRNA from 1 species